AGAACAUUCCUGCCACUUCAGUUCAACAGCCAUCUGAAGCCCACCUGUGAGCUGGUCCAGGAAAUGAUGGACUCUGAUUUCCACACCCCUUUCCUGUGAACUUGUCUCCAAUUUAGUCUGUCAAGGUCCCUUUCUUGUGAGUUAAUUUCUCCCUAGUGCUACUUCUCAGAUUGGCCAGUGACUCACAGAGUGGCACAAGUACAAAUCCAGCCUGCCUUGCAUCCAACACAGAUUCCAGGACCACUGAAACCAGCUGAGGCAUCCUGAAAGCCUAAGAUUGACCACACCAGAGGAACCAGACUGCCCUUCACAAGGGGAAGACUCCUGAACUUGCCUCACCCAAAGAUAUGAUGUACGCUUCAGACAAUGCUGGACUGAUGUGUUCAAUUAAACAAAUGCACCAAUAAAAUGCUGCAUGUAAAAAGAGUAAA
ensembl:lncRNA LINC00305 long intergenic non-protein coding RNA 305